UGAUGGAGGUGCUGAAAGAUCUCAUAUGCCCAAUUUGUUACAGUCUGUUUGAUAUCCUUGAGUUUUGGCUUACUUGCACAACUUCCGGGAAAAAAAAAUGCUUAGAAGAGAACUCUAAUACAAGGUAGCUUAAAGGAGAAUGUGCAGAAUUCAUUGUGGAGACUACCUCCAUUCAGUCAAGUGCCCUGGGGUGCUGUAAGGAAACUUCAGCAACUGGAGUCAACAGCCUGCAGGUUAAUUACUCCCUGAAGGGUUUGAAGAAAAUAUAACUAGAUCAAGAUCUCUUCUAAAAUGCCAGUGUUCAAAGGACAUCUGGAGUACCUCUGAGCAUUCUCGGGCUGACUGAUACACAGCUAAUCUGUGGAAUCCGUGCUACUGGUGUUGACCACACCAAGCAUUGUCUUCUGUUCUAUUGAAGAAGUUCAUGCUCAGAAAAGAAAUGGCUAUGCCUUUGAAUCCCUCUUUUAGAGUUUUGAGAACUGGCGUUGGGGAGAUGUUCUUUCUCGCCUGAAUACCAUGGAGACUAGCAAGUUACUGAUUAAAAUAUUUAAGUAAACCUCAAAAAAUGAAACUUAAAAUUAGGCAAACCACUGAUCCAGAGAUCAACAAACUCAACACCGUCUUGCAGGAGCAGUGAAUGGCCUUAACAUUGCUGAAGCUAUCAAAGUCGUUUCAGAACCCGUCAUGUGCUGCAACAGAUGCAGGAAUUCUGGGAGGUAAUCAAGAAAACUCCUUUACCUCCCUCUAAUUUGCCCACAAGUUCCCUAAUGAAGAACUUUGAUACCAGUCAGUGGGAGGACAUAAAACUAGUAGUUGUGCAUACAUGUUCUUUGCCUCAACACAUUGGCACAUUCAUUAACAAGAUUCCCUGGAGCUUUUUU
rnacentral:lncRNA from 1 species